rnacentral:lncRNA from 1 species
GGGCUGCCUUCCAGGCUUUUGACCCAAUAGUCCAAAGAAUUUUAAAAACGAUGGUUCCAAACAAAGACAAGUGCUUUCUGUAUACUUGUGUCCUUGUUUUCAAUUUGCUACCAGUAAGGAAAAACAAGGCAGGCCUCCCAUCUUUGGCCUGCCGGGUAACAAUACCUUGACCAAACUUUGUCAUCCCACUUUGUGAUGUAAUUCAUCACCUUUAUAAAUAUCUGGUCCAGCAGAGACUUUUUGUCCCUCUUUGAGGUAGAGCCAUGUUGUCCUCAAGAGACAAGAAUAUGGAAAGCAGCAGAGGCUCGCUGUCAGCAUAACCAAAAAAGAGAGAGGAAAAGACCCCAGAAGACGUUUCCUCGAGCAAGAGAUCCAGGGUGGGGAAGUUCAUUCUAACUUGCUGCUUAUGUUGCAUUUGUGUCUCUCCACCGAAAUCACCACCAGGGCUGGCGAUUGAUGACAAGUCCAAAGAGGGAAAAGAGUCAGAGGCAUAACACCAUUGCCGGGUAAAGCAUUCUAAAAGUUUGGGCACUGAAAUAGGUGGCAGGGAAAGCCAGGGAGACCUCUGGAGGCAGAGGCGGUUUUCCCGGGGAGGAGGUUAGACCGGGCCUACCAGAGAAGACCCAAGACCUUUUGUCAGAUAAAACAACUGGGGUCAGGAAACCAAGGGUUUUAUACUUCAUCUAUUGCAGCUGCAUUUAUACCGCACCAAGGGAAUCACCAGGAAACAAGAACAACGGAGCCGCCCCACCUCUCCUUCCUCUGGAGCCACCCUGCCUCUCUUUCCUCCUCCUGCGCUGCAGGAGUAAAGAAGUUCCCUGACUGCCCGCAAUAAUUUUCUCUGGGCUUGAGGUGGGGCUGCGUUUCCCAGAGUACUUUGAGGCAGCUCAAAUGAUACCAACAUCAGACCAUGACCACCAACGUAUGGCUCAAUCAGGCAACCAUCCCAUGGGUGUUCAGUUUAAACCUCCCAAACUGGAGCAGAAACAACAAAGCAGCUACUUCAUUUUUACAGCAUCUGAUCCUGAUCUCCCAGUGAACAUUUACAUGCCCCUCUUCAUGUGCAGGAUGCAUUCCAAGAAAAUGGAGCACUCAGCAGUAAAUGUAAUCCCGGCUAUACACUGAAUACUAAGUAACUGUUGACAACAGGGUUGGUUGGUUGCAUGCAUCCAGGAUCUAUUACUGGACUGCCAUCAAGCCACAACUGAAACGCUAACAUUCAAAAUGUCUUUCCAUAAACUCAUGCAAUCAAGAAGCAAGACAUCAAGUUACAAGACAUGAAUAUGAAAUGCAAAAAAGAGCAUAUUGAUGUACUAUAGUGUGGAGAGGGAAUCAUAGAAGAACGAUGUAAAGUGACAUUUUAGAAAAGUAGGCAUCUGUUUCAUAUGGGCCAAUGUGGGUUGGAUGAAAAGCAAUAAUAAAUCAGUUACUUGGUUCA